rnacentral:rRNA from 1 species
AUGAGAUAUAUACUGUCUUUUUUAAAAUUAUAUAGAAUUUUAUUUUUUAAUUAAAAAGUUAAAAUAAAAUUAAAGGACGAGAAGACCCUAUAGAUCUUUAUUUUUGUUAUUUAUAAAUUAAAAAGAAUUUUAAAAUUUAUAAUUUAAUAAAAAAUUUUAUUGGGGUGAUAUUAAAAUUUAAAAAACUUUUAAAAUUUAUUAACAUAAAUAUAUGAAUAAAUGAUCCAGUUUUAUUGAUUAAAAAUUUAAGUUACCUUAGGGAUAACAGCGUAAUUUUUUUUUAGAGUUCAUAUCGACAAAAAAGAUUGCGACCUCGAUGUUGGAUUAAGAGUUAUUUUUAGGUGUAGAAGUUUAAAGUUUAGGUCUGUUCGACCUUUGAAUUCUUACAUGAUCUGAGUUCAAACCGGA